rnacentral:rRNA from 1 species
AGUGAACGCUGGCGGUAGGCCUAACACAUGCAAGUCGAACGGCAGCACAGGAGAGCUUGCUCUCUGGGAGGCGAGUGGCGGACGGGUGAGGAAUACAUCGGAAUCUACUUUUUCGUGGGGGAUAACGUAGGGAAACUUACGCUAAUACCGCAUACGACCUACGGGUGAAAGCAGGGGACCUUCGGGCCUUGCGCGAUUGAAUGAGCCGAUGUCGGAUUAGCUAGUUGGCGGGGUAAAGGCCCACCAAGGCGACGAUCCGUAGCUGGUCUGGAGGGAUGGUCAGCCACACUGGAACUGGGCCACGGUCCAGACUCCUACGGGAGGCAGCAGUGGGGAAUAUUGGACAAUGGGCGCAAGCCUGAUCCAGCCAUACCGCGUGGGUGAAGAAGGCCUUCGGGUUGUAAAGCCCUUUUGUUGGGAAAGAAAUCCAGCUGGCUAAUACCCGGUUGGGAUGACGGUACCCAAAGAAUAAGCACCGGCUAACUUCGUGCCAGCCGCCGCCGUAA